rnacentral:rRNA from 1 species
UAGGGAAUCUUCCACAAUGGACGCAAGUCUGAUGGAGCAACGCCGCGUGAGUGAAGAAGGUUUUCGGAUCGUAAAGCUCUGUUGUUGGUGAAGAAGGAUAGAGGCAGUAACUGGUCUUUAUUUGACGGUAAUCAACCAGAAAGUCACGGCUAACUACGUGCCAGCAGCCGCGGUAAUACGUAGGUGGCAAGCGUUGUCCGGAUUUAUUGGGCGUAAAGCGAGCGCAGGCGGAAUGAUAAGUCUGAUGUGAAAGCCCACGGCUCAACCGUGGAACUGCAUCGGAAACUGUCAUUCUUGAGUGCAGAAGAGGAGAGUGGAAUUCCAUGUGUAGCGGUGGAAUACGUAGAUAUAUGGAAGAACACCAGUGGCGAAGGCGGCUCUCUGGUCUGCAACUGACGCUGAGGCUCGAAAGCAUGGGUAGCGAACAGG